CCAUGUCCGCUAACACCUAGCAUGCAUUGAAUUCCAGUCUCUUCACUCCUGAGCCUCAGUUUCCCCGGGUGACAGCAUGUCAUGGAGUCCUCAGAAUUGCCAUAGCAACAGGCCACUGGGCAGAUUAAACCAUUAUGGGUCUGGACACUGACACUCAAAACUGAUUGUGGUUCUGGAAACUUGGAUGGCUGAGCAAGAAUCCUGGAAUUCGGACAAGGAGGCUCAUAGCUGAAGAGCAGAGGCAGCUCACCAUCUCGGGCCUUGGUU